rnacentral:rRNA from 1 species
CAGUCGCCGCGGGAAUACGAAGGGUGCAAGCGUUACUCGGAAUUACUGGGCGUAAAGCGUGCGUAGGUGGUGGUUUAAGUUCGUUGUGAAAGCCCUGGGCUCAACCUGGGAAUUGCAGUGGAUACUGGGUCACUAGAGUGUGGUAGAGGAUAGUGGAAUUUCCGGUGUAGCAGUGAAAUGCGUAGAUAUGCGGAGGAACACCGAUGGCGAAGGCAGCCCCCUGGGUCAAUACUGACGCUCAUGCACGAAAGCGUGGGGAGCAAACAGGAUUAGAGACCCCUGUAGUCCCUGUCUCUUAUAC